AUCUCUUUGGAGACAUCCGAUAAAAUUGAAACGUUACAGAGAAGAUUAACAUGGCCCCUGCGAAAGGAUGACAGAUAAAAAUUGAGAAGUGGUCCAUGAUUUU
rfam:Picea glauca, whole genome shotgun sequence.